GGCAGGCCUACACAUGCAAGUCGAACGAACUCUUCGGAGUUAGUGGCCGACGGGUGAGUAACACGUGGGAACGUGCCUUUUGGUUCGGAAUAACUCAGGGAAACUUGUGCUAAUACCGAAUGUGCCCUUCGGGGGAAAGAUUUAUCGCCAUUAGAGCGGCCCGCGUCUGAUUAGCUAGUUGGUGAGGUAAAAGCUCACCAAGGAGACGAUCAGUAGCUGGUCUGAGAGGAUGACCAGCCACACUGAGACUGAGACACGGCCCAGACUCCUACGGGAGGCAGCAGUGGGGAAUCUUGCGCAAUGGGCGAAAGCCUGACGCAGCCAUGCCGCGUGAAUGAUGAAGGUCUUAGGAUUGUAAAAUUCUUUCACCGGAGACGAUAAUGACGGUACCCGGAGAAGAACCCCCGGCUAACUUCGUGCCAGCAGCCGCGGUAAUACGAAGGGGGCUAGCGUUGCUCGGAAUUACUGGGCGUAAAGGGCGCGUAGGCGGAUCGUUAAGUCAGAGGUGAAAUCCCAGGGCUCAACCCUGGAACUGCCUUUGAUACUGGCGAUCUUGAGUAUGAGAGAGGUAUGUGGAACUCCGAGUGUAGAGGUGAAAUUCGUAGAUAUUCGGAAGAACACCAGUGGCGAAGGCGACAUACUGGCUCAUUACUGACGCUGAGGCGCGAAAGCGUGGGGAACAAACAGGAUUAGAUACCCUGGUAGUCCACGCCGUAAACGAUGAUUGCUAGUUGUCGG
rnacentral:rRNA from 1 species